UUCAGUUUCUAGCAUCUCCUACAACUACUGUGUUUCACUGAAAGGGCUGACAAGCAAUGAAAAUAUCAGAAGGCACGACAGUGGGAAAGAGAACAGAGGUUUGAGCAACACCAAGAGAACGAUUCAUCAAUUCCCCCCACCACCACCGUCCUUGAAACCAUACGGACGACAAAAGAAAGGUCUACCCAGUGGACAAAAUGUCUAUACCUCCAGACCAGGAGACCAACUGCACAGUGGCCUUGAUUUCACCCAAAGUUCCACAAAAUUCUGACACUGCACAAAACCUUGACGACACUGUUCUAAGAGCAUCACACAACAACCCAGUGUGGCAGGUACUAUUAUUAUCCUCAUCUUCCAACUACAGACACUGAGGCCUCUGUGUCCACUACCCCUGGAAAUCGGUGGCACCAAGCAAUGACUAUCACCAAAUAUGGACCCACAGGUAAUUCCUGAAUUUCUCUUUCUAUCGACCAUUAAUUCCACAACUAGUUGAGUGAUGCCCUAUGGUGAAUCAGGCCCUGGAGAUACAGGAAAAAAGCGACCGGUAACCAUUACAGUAAGUGCUCUAUGAGCCCAUGUAUCACCAGUCCAGCAGUGAUCACAGUGAAGAAGACUCUAUAAUAAACAUUAAAACAACGGCGUUUUAUCUUAAGAAAUAAAGACAUUUACACAGCACUUAACUUUAAAAUACAUACAGGACCCGAAAGAAUUCCCUUGUUUGUUUUGGAACAUGUGGUACCCCAGAAAUUGUUUACAUGUGGUUACUGGCUGUGAGCAAAAUUAUUUUCAUUCCGGAGGUGCCCCAGUGUCUUAUAACUGCUACCUGUGAGAAGCAUUGUUCUCUUUCCCCCCAACAGUCACUGUGUGCCUUCUGUGCGCUACUCCCCAGCAAAAACAGGGGUCGACAGAGAAGAUGGCACCUAAAGAUGUGAAGGGGGAUGGGGAUGGGGCAGCUACCGGACACUUUGCUCUGAAGAGACCCUGUCUUCCCGGCUUCUCCUGCUGGGAAUCAGUCUCACUGCCACCAGCAGGGAAAUGAACCACCAAAGGGAAUAAAGGGAUUCGUCACCUCUAAAUAAAUACCAGUGACCUAAACAUUUUUGUGAGGAUUAAAUAAUAUGGUUGACAUUAAGGAUUUAACAAAAUUACGGUUAUAUAAUAUAUACAAUU